UUUUUUAAUAUUCUUUCACCUUUCCUACUUCGUAUAAUUGAGCCUAAUUCUUCUUCGCUUCCCCCAGCUUCUGCUUCUUUUCAUAUCCCUCGAUUUCAUCUCUCUCAUAUCCUCUCCUUCUCCGUUUCAUCUCUGUCAUUGUGAUAUAAAUUUUAAAUUUAGUUAGGGAGUGUUUAAAGUAAGAGUUAUCAUUUUUAUUAAAGAAGAGAGUUUUAGAUCUUGUCAAAUCUUACAUACUCUCUAUUAUCUUAUAAUUUAGAUCCGCCACCUUUGAAGAUUUAUGGAGCAAUUUUAGAGGAUUAAAGUGUUAGUAACGGAAUAGAUUAUUUUGAGAUAUUAUAACAGUGUUAAUUUGUCUGACUAAAUGACAUGAAAAUGCUUUAUACAUGGAUCGAAGGGUGCCAAUAAGCUUGCAGCAAUAUGCCCGGUUAAGCAGUUGUUCUUGGGUGCAGUGGAUGAGACCAGUCUAAUCAUGUACUAAGUAGGACCGAUAUUUGGUCCUAGGCAAAUUAUCAUAUGUUAAGUGGAUUUGUUAGUGCAAUUUUGAUAAAUUCCUUGGUAAUAUUGAACCGUUGUGCAAAGUUAUAAAUUGUUAGAUUUUUGUUAAUUUAUUCUCUAUCAUUAUUCUU